CGGCUGGUAGCUCAAUCAGGUCAGAGCGUUUGUCUCAUAAACAAGGGGUUCCGGGUUCGAAUCCCGGCCAGCCGACCA
rnacentral:tRNA from 1 species